rnacentral:rRNA from 1 species
AGUCGAGGGGCAGCAUGGUCUUAGCUUGCUAAGGCCGAUGGCGACCGGCGCACGGGUGAGUAACACGUAUCCAACCUGCCGUCUACUCUUGGACAGCCUUCUGAAAGGAAGAUUAAUACAAGAUGGCAUCAUGAGUCCGCAUGUUCACAUGAUUAAAGGUAUUCCGGUAGACGAUGGGGAUGCGUUCCAUUAGAUAGUAGGCGGGGUAACGGCCCACCUAGUCUUCGAUGGAUAGGGGUUCUGAGAGGAAGGUCCCCCACAUUGGAACUGAGACACGGUCCAAACUCCUACGGGAGGCAGCAGUGAGGAAUAUUGGUCAAUGGGCGAGAGCCUGAACCAGCCAAGUAGCGUGAAGGAUGACUGCCCUAUGGGUUGUAAACUUCUUUUAUAAAGGAAUAAAGUCGGGUAUGGAUACCCGUUUGCAUGUACUUUAUGAAUAAGGAUCGGCUAACUCCGUGCCAGCAGCCGCGGUAAUACGGAGGAUCCGAGCGUUAUCCGGAUUUAUUGGGUUUAAAGGGAGCGUAGAUGGAUGUUUAAGUCAGUUGUGAAAGUUUGCGGCUCAACCGUAAAAUUGCAGUUGAUACUGGAUAUCUUGAGUGCAGUUGAGGCAGGCGGAAUUCGUGGUGUAGCGGUGAAAUGCUUAGAUAUCACGAAGAACUCCGAUUGCGAAGGCAGCCUGCUAAGCUGCAACUGACAUUGAGGCUCGAAAGUGUGGGUAUCAAACAGGAUUAGAUACCCUGGUAGUCCACACGGUAAACGAUGAAUACUCGCUGUUUGCGAUAUACUGCAAGCGGCCAAGCGAAAGCGUUAAGUAUUCCACCUGGGGAGUACGCCGGCAACGGUGAAACUCAAAGGAAUUGACGGGGGCCCGCACAAGCGGAGGAACAUGUGGUUUAAUUCGAUGAUACGCGAGGAACCUUACCCGGGCUUAAAUUGCAGAUGAAUUACGGUGAAAGCCGUAAGCCGCAAGGCAUCUGUGAAGGUGCUGCAUGGUUGUCGUCAGCUCGUGCCGUGAGGUGUCGGCUUAAGUGCCAUAACGAGCGCAACCCUUGUUGUCAGUUACUAACAGGUUCCGCUGAGGACUCUGACAAGACUGCCAUCGUAAGAUGUGAGGAAGGUGGGGAUGACGUCAAAUCAGCACGGCCCUUACGUCCGGGGCUACACACGUGUUACAAUGGGGGGUACAGAGGGCCGCUACCACGCGAGUGGAUGCCAAUCCCCAAAACCUCUCUCAGUUCGGACUGGAGUCUGCAACCCGACUCCACGAAGCUGGAUUCGCUAGUAAUCGCGCAUCAGCCACGGCGCGGUGAAUACGUUCCCGGGCCUUGUACACACCGCCCGUCAAGCCAUGGGAGCCGGGGGUACCUGAAGUGCGUAACCGCGA